rnacentral:rRNA from 1 species
UACGUAGGGCGCAAGCGUUGUCCGGAAUUAUUGGGCGUAAAGAGCUCGUAGGCGGUUUGUCGCGUCUGCUGUGAAAGCCCGGGGCUCAACCCCGGGUCUGCAGUGGGUACGGGCAGACUAGAGUGCAGUAGGGGAGACUGGAAUUCCCGUGGUGCGGUGGAAAUGCGCAGAUAUCAGGAGGAACACCGAUGGCGAAGGCAGGCUCUGGGCUGUUACUGACGCUGAGGAGCGAAAGCAUGGGGAGCGAACAGGAUUAGAUACCGGGUAGUCC